AUUUUCAGCAAAUUUUCUUUUUUGGGUGGAAAAUUCCUUUAUUAAUCUUUAACCUGAACACCAUUUUAAAAGAACAUUGUGCCAAAAACAUAAUAUGAAUAUAAUCAAAAUAGAAGUGAUUUUAUCAUUUCAGUAAUGUACUGUACAUUGGUUAGCCAACAACUGUUUAUUGUUAUUAAGUAGAUAUUUUGGAUAAAUAGCUAACCAACUAACGUUAAACCAACAUUAGUGACAAUAUCUGUUGAUGAUCUUUAAGGAAAGUCUGAUAUUUCAUAUGUGAAGACUGAAGGAUCACAAACACCAACUCUUAAGAUGAAGGACAAGGUGGUGAAGACAUAUUUGGAGACUGUCAGCGAUUACAGAUUCCAUUCCACUCCUGUUCAGGAAUGCUGGCUGGUACCAUUCCAGUCUGUGAUGGAGGCAGAGAUUUCUGAUUUCACUGUCACUCAGCUUUAGAGUUAACAAACAGCGUUUCCUUUUGAUUUUGAUGGUUCAUGUUAAGUAAAUGCAUCAAUGGUUUAAUUCUACCUGGCCUAGGAAGACAUACAUUCAAUUGUCUUAAAUAUAUAGUUUGCUUGAUAUGCUGACUUUUUGUUUUUGUUUAUGAAAAUUAACUUUCCACUGAUUAAUCCAGAUUAAUGCUUAAUACAUAAAGCUGAUUGAGUUGGGUAGCUCAUUUCAACAGGAGGGAACAUUUAAGUCCAUGAAAGUGAUUUUGUGCUUUUUUGGAAUAGCACAAAGUGAUGUUCACUUGUAGAAUGCAAGCUUCUAGAGGGCACAUAUGUCAGAAGUAAUACAUUUAGGUAAAGGGGUGCAGAGCUAGAGGUGGUUUUGUAGGCAAACAUUAAUGCCUUGAAUUUUAUGUGAGCAGCUAUUGGUAAUCAGUGCAUACUGAAAAACAGAGGUGUGACAUGCAUUCUUUUUGGCUCAUUAAAAAUUGAUCUUGCUGCAAUGUUCUGGUUUAUUUGUAAUUGUAAAUUAAUUGUUGUUCUUUCAUUAUGCCUCCAUGCUGAAAAUAUAUAUUUUUUAAUAUAAUCAAAGAAUACAUGUUAAAAUUGGGUAUCCGAACUGAUUGCACUGUAUUUUUACUCUUUUUUUAAAUGUAAAAUAAUUUUUUGUUUCUAACUGUUUUUAAAUUCAUUUUAAUUAAGUACAUUUUUAAAUAAUUUCAAACGUUUAAAAAUUGCUUGUUUUAUUUUAGUUAUUUUUCUUCAUGAUUAUUUUAUGUAAAGCCCUUUGAAUUACCAUUGUGUACGAAAUGUGCUCUAUAAAUAAACUUGCCUUGCCUUGCCUUA